AAACGAGAUCACUCAACCUGUGUGCGAGGUGAAUAUAACCUUGGAUAUAUUUUAUCUUUGAAGAUAAAAUCUUACAAGUGAGAUCGUACGUAUCCGGAAAAUUUGAUGAAUAAAAUAUAAAAAGAUGGAAUUUGCAGGUGUUAGUUUCGUUAACACUCUUCCCGCUAACAAUGAACAAAAUCGAGAAAGUGACAUGAGAACGAGAAGAUGCUUCUUAUGCAAGGAUAAAGUAACAAAGAUGGCCGAAAAAGAAAGUUCGCUCACAAAAGCGUUAUGUCUGUACUUUAAACUUACAUAUGGUAUGGCCUUCUGCACAUUUUGUGAAACUGAUUUUCGAUAUCGUGAUUCUAGAGAUCUUCCGAUACACUUUAAAGCUCACUGUUGACGAAAGGAAUAUGAAGACAGAUGACGAAAACUAAGUGUUAACAAUCAGAUCAAAUACAAAAGACGCAUUUAUAUCUUACAAUAUAAAUAAGUCAA